UUUUUUUGAUGCUUUAGAAAUAUCGUGCCGGGCCGCACAUUCCCCCUCAUCUUCGCCUAGCCAGUCUACACAGCCCACCUAGUCGUCCCCGCGACCGGGACCGUCCGAUUAUGAUCCUACGGUGGAAAUCGAGGCGAAAAGCCCCUAACCCUAGCAACCUACUAUAAAUAGAUGCCCUACCGUGCCUAAAAUGGCUAACCCUAGCCAUCUUCCUCAUUAUCCCUGCACCUCCUACGCCUCAGCUCCCCUAGCACCGCCACGCAAGCCGUCGUCGCGCCCAGGACCUGCAGCCCACCGUCGUCGCUCCGCCAUGGUGAGCCCCGCCUCCUGCAAGCCGUCGGCUGCCGCCCCUGCCCACAUCCGAUGGCCGCAGACCAGAUCCAGCACCGUGCCAUGCCAGGAGCCGCCGGAGCUGUGCGAGCCGGCCGCUAGCCGCCUCGCUCGUGCCUCCCCUCCUAUCGGUCGGGAGCGAGGAGGAGGAGGAGGACGAUGCCUCCAGCUACCAUUCGGUCGUGGGCUGGCCCAGCUUGGCCGUUGACCAGGCCAGCUCCUCCCGUCGGCCCAGUCAGGCCGGCCCACGUCGGCCCGAGCCGGUGAUGUAGGCGUUGCCCAAUCUUUCGAUGAUAGUGGUGAUAACUAUCGAUUUGGUGGAUUUUGACUUUGACGAUCCGACUAUACCGUGCCCGACGCUACGCCUUAGCAAUCGCUAAACCAAUCUCCGAUGGUUAUUGACCCUGUCGUAGGCACGAUCAACCUGAACACGAGGUUCGAGUUCCUGCAAGCAACCAAAAAACUGACAAGAACAAUGAUGAAUUGCAAUCUAAAUUGCUGGUAUGAAUUAAGCUCACGAUAAUGAAGGGGUUCCACUGUGGAUCUCACAACGCGGUAGUUGUACAUGUCUCGUACAAAUUGUAGCGAUGACUAAACAAUAUAAUAAAAC
rnacentral:lncRNA from 1 species